ACCGUCGAAGGCCCCAACGCAGGCACGCAGCCUUGAUCCCCUCCUUCCUCCCCGCCACCGCCACCGCCACCGCCACGAACUCCUACUCCGACACGAACUCUGCUCAAGCCCGCUCCCAUGGUUCCCGACAUCGACAGCGACUCUUUACCCGUCCCGCAAGCCGAAGGCACCACCUACAGAAAGGACUCGAGUCCCUCGAUCGAAACCCUAGAUCAGACCGGAUCCCGGCGGCGCCACGACAGGUUGCCGGCCUGCAGUCCUCCUCACGGGACAAGCUGCGUUCGCGGUGCGCUCUCGCUGCCCGCCGGCUUCGACGAUGUGGGCCGGGGCGCCGCCCUUCCGCAGAUCCGCAAUCGAGCCGUGCGUCCGAUCUGCCGCCUCCCCUCGACGUCCACGGCUCUGCGCUCUUCCGUGUUCUCUCCUACCGCAAGUUGUGGGCCGCUACGCCGCUAUCUGCCGGUUCCUCGUACAAGAGCGAUGGACAAACUGAGCCCUGUGGGAAGCAAUCGCAUCAGCUCAACGACGUCCAGCGUUUCUCCUCUCUAUGUUUCUUUGCACGCCUAUCUCCAAGCACGAAGCCACGACGAGAUGGUCCGGUCUUAGUACUAUGUUGAUAGCGAGGGUGCUUGGUUCAAGGGAAGCAGCCGGUUCUCUACUUUGUAUGCUUAUAUGGUAUCUUGGAUGAGGGUUACAAAUUCAACAUGUCAGUUGAGGAAGCUGCUGAGUUAGCACGGUGGGCUUUUAUCACACAACAUUAUGUGACAUGACAAAGCUAAUGGUGGCUGUGUUCGUGGUGGUAUGCAUUCUGUUUCUUAGUAUCUAUCCUAAUAUUUGUUUUGUUCACUCGAUAAGCACGAUACAACAUGCAUGCAGAUUUGUUAAACACCUUGCCGUUAUUUCUUUCUUUUGAAAUCGCAUACAUAAUUGUUUAUUUUAGUUGCAUUUACUUAAGUUUUUGGCGAAGUUCAGAGAUUUUUUCCCCAUCAUGUAAUGCACACCUCCAGGUUGGGAAUAGAGAUUACCGAGACGAUGGUGAUAAAUUAAGCCACACCCUCCUAUUCACAAACAUAUGUAGAGUAUAGAAGGUGUUGUAGAGUAUAGACAUGGCCACAUGGGUCUAGACAUCUAGACAAACCUACCUAGAAUUUCUAAAAUAAUAUAAUUAUAAUGGUACAUGUAAAUUACAUGUGUAGAUUUCUUAUUUUUUUAUACGGCUUUCAUGUUAGUAGAUUCUAAAAAAUAUGGUGUGAUGUAUAAAGAAUAAUGGUCAACGUUAUGUUUUUCUUCGUGUUUGCUUUUUCUUUUUGCUUUUUAUUUUUUGAACCUUUUUCAAAUUUUUGAACAAUUUCAAUUCACAUUUUUGAAUUUGCUAAAAAAUUGAAUUACCGAAUGUUUUCAAAUUCGUGAAUAUUUUUUGAAAAUGAACCUUUUCCAAUUGUUGAAUAGUUUUUGAAUAUGUGAGCAUUUAUCGAAUACAUGAGCAUUUUUGAAAUUUGUGAAGAGUUUUUAGAAUGCGUGAACAAUUUUUUGAAUUUGCCCUGAAUUUUUUUUUGAACUCCUUAACAUUUUUUGAAUUCGUGAACAUUUUUGGAACCACACUUGUCUUGAAUAUGAGAAAUUUUUCGAAUUCGUGAACAUUUUUGGAAUUUGUGAACAUUGCUUUAGAAUCCACCAACAUUUUUGGAAUUUGUGAACAUUGCUUUAGAAUCCACGAACAAUUUUUGAAUUCGUUGCGAACAUUUAACAAUUUUUCGUACUCAUUUGAAUUCAUGAACUUGUUUUGAAUACGUGAACAUUUUUGAAUAUGUGAUCAUUUUUUGAAUAUGUGAACAUUUUUGGAAUUCACAUUUUUUUAAUCCGUGAACAUUUCUGGAAUUGGCAAACAUUUUUUGAAUUUGCAAACAUAUUUUUUAAAUUUGUGAACAUUUAUUUAAUUCGCAACCUUUUUUUUUUCAAAUUCGCCUUAGAUGUUAAUAGAUUCUAAGUAUAUGGUGUGAUGUAUAAAGAAUUAUGGUCAAUGCUACGUUUAGUGUUUGGGUUAUUAUUAUUUGAAAAGUAGGGUCAAAAGAAGAUUAUUAUUUGGGCUUGAUAUAGUAUGAUUAUCUCACUAGGUUGUGUUUGCAUCAAAGGCGUGUCCCACGAUGGAGAAGAACACGCCAACCAUUUUGGUAGUGGGCCUAUAACUCAUCUCAGCAAUUCUGUUUAGGUCAUCAUCUCCUUUUCCAUAUUUCUCUUACAACCUGUUUGGUAAACACUCGGGCAGGGGAAUGGGAAUUUGCACAAGGAUUUUUAUGUAGGGAUUAGGCAUGGGAAGUAGAUUUUUACUUCCAUUCCCUUGUUUGGCAUAUGAUGGGAAUUGACGUGGGAUAAAACUCUGCUCACGAAUUAACAGGGUACCCCCUGGGAUGAAAUCGGUGGGAAUUGGCUUCCUCAACUCCCCUUCCCCUUCCCACUUGAACUCCCAUUCCCUCUAAUCAAACAGAGGACUUUUAAUCUCCUCACCCAUCAACUCCCAUUCCCCACCUCUAAUUCCCCCGAACCAAACACGCUGUUAGUCUCACUCCCAAACACUUCACGACCCUAGAGGGAAUGUCGACAACCAUGGUGACAUUGUCCCCUUUGGUCGUUCAUGCCACUUGAGAGGAUGAAGGCUCUAGCAACAACAUCGUGCGAGAGCCAUCGACGGUAGCGAGUUUGCCACCAUCCUGGCCACGACUACAAUGCCACAGAGCAUAUAGUGGAGGGUAGAGUAGGGAAGUGGAGUGACGGCACCGUAGGAGGAGGUUCUCUCAAAUGGGGGCACUGCAGUUUGUUUCUUCUUCCAGGCGAGUGCCAGUCAGAUAGACAAGACUCCCAACAAAAUAUCGACAAAGCGUCAGAUCAGACAAUGGGUCAACAUCACUAGCAGGGAGGUGAACAUUGAGCUCCAUGGGAGUCUCAAUAGUGCGCUCAUCAGUAAGAGCAGUGCGAGUAACAAGAUCCUGGAUUAUUAUAAUUGAGCAAGAAGGGACCUCGAUCCCAAGAAAAGUAGCAGAGAGGGCCAAGAUAAGACAUAAGAAACUGCAUACUAAGACAUGCCCUCACAAAGACAAUAUACUCACAGUCUGCGUCCGUGAUGAUCAUGUCAUCAACAUAUAGAAGAAGAGUCCUACCAAGAGCAGAAAGGAGGACAAACAACGUCGAAUCAUGAGCUCUCGCUAAAAACCAGCAGCAGUGACCAUAGAGGCAAAAUGCUCAAACCAGGUGCGAGGGGCUUGCUUAAAGCCAUAGAGUGAUGAAGAUGACAAAGCAUGUCGUAAGAUGCAAAAUACCCAGUGGUGGAUGUAUGUAAAUCUCCUCACGCAACUCACCAUUAAGAAAGGCAUUCUUAACAUCAAGCAUAGACACCAGUGGUGAACAAAGGCCACAAUAAGAAGUGUGCGAACAGUGGUCAUACGGUUUCAGGAGCAAAAGCCUCGUUGUAAUCAGGACCAUGCUCCUGCUGAAAGCCAUGACCCACAAGACGAGCUUUGUAAAGCUCAAGAGAACCAUCAGAGUAGUCCUAACCUUGUAGACCCACCAAGUGAUGGGACAAACACGAGGAGAAACAUAAACAACAUCUCACGUGCCGAUGCGCUCAAGAGCAACAAUCUCCUCUGCCAUCACAAGUUGCCAUUUGGUAUGAACAAUAUCAUAAUAAGAAGUCGGCUCAAGAACAACAACCCCAACGCUUGGAAGACCAAGGCGGUCAACAAGUCGAAGCGGACGAGGACACAAUCCAUAACAGCCUGUUUGGUAAACACUUGGGCAAGGGUAUGAGAGUUUGCACAAGGGUGUUUAUGAAGGGAUUAGGCAUGGGAAGUAGAUUUUUACUCCCAUUCCCUUGUUUGGCAUAUGAUGGGAAUUGGCGUGGGAUAAAACUCUCCUCACGAAUUAACAGGGUACCCCCUGGGAAGAAAUCGGUGGGAAUUGGCUUCCCCAACUCCCAGUCCCCUUCCCACUUAAACUCCCAUUCCCUCUAAUCAAACAGUGGAUUUUUAAUCUCCUUACCCCUCAACUCCCAUUCCCCAUCUCUAAUUCCCCUGAACCAAACACGCUGUAAGUAGGCUGAGACGUGGAAGAUGGCACAUCAGUAUAUGCAUCCACAACAUGCACACAAACUGUAUAGAAGUUAGGAAAAAUUGGAAGAAUACAAGCUGAAAUCAUUGGGAUAAACUCGAGUGAUGGAGACAAGGAAGCCACUUUUGAUGAAUGUGUAGAAUCAUGUGAUAACCGAGGUGAGGAAAUCAUAGGAGAUGAUGACAUUGGUUCUACAAUAACCAGAGAAGCAGGAGCGGUACGAUGACUGGAUAAGGGCUCAAUAGGAGUGGUAGGAGUAUCGGGAAAAUUGUGGGAAGAGAGAUACUCCACUUAAAAGGCCGAAGAAGAUGGACAUAGGUAGAAGGGACGAGACUCAACAAAAGUCAUAUCCCAUGAAAUAGGUAUCCGAUGACCAACAUGAUCCCAACAACGAUAUCCCUUAUGCUCAUCGUUGUAUCCUAAGAAGACACUCAAUAGACCAAGAAGUCAGUUUGGUGCAUUCACGAGCGGCAAGGACAUAGCAAACACAACCGAACAAUUUAAGCGCCGAAUAAACUAUCAAAUAGAUGCUCGAAAGGAGCGUCACCCUAUAGAGCAGUGGAUUGGUGAAGGUUGAUGAGAUAGAUGGAAGUGGAGACAAACUCGGCCCAAAAGUGCGGGGUAAGAGAGGCCGUGACCAUGAACGAACGAGCUGUCUCAAGAAGGUGACGAUGCUUGCACUCAGCCACGCUAUUAUGAGCAUGAGCACCAUGAUAAGAGAACCAAAGUCCGCUCAGCAAGGAUUCCAUGCAACAACUUGGAGAUAUACUCUCCACCGGAGUCAUCACAGAACACACGAAUAGGCAUAGAGAACCGAGUGUGAACCAUGACAACAAAAGGCUUAUAGAUGAGACCUCACUACGAGAAGAAAUAAAGUAUAUCCGGGCGUAUAGAGAGAAGUCACUAGCAGAGGCAAAGGGAGAUGGACCCUCGAGAUCAGAGUGAACAAGGUCAAAAGGACGUCGAGACACUGUCUCGCUAUGAGUAGGUAAUUGGACCACGGAUUAAAGACAUCAUCAGAGACGGAUCCAAGAAGACCACGUCGAACUAAGGAUGAGAGAUCACAAGUGACCCAAGGCGAUGAUGCCACUGUUGAAAAUAGCUGGUUCACACUGGUGGCGGGGGAAGUAGAGGGACUUGAUCCAGCAUCCCACGUGCCUGUGCACUCUCUAUACCCUGUCGAUUUUGCUUGGUGUUCUUCUCCUGCUUGCGGGUUGUGUGCCACGCGCUUGAUUAAGCACCCCAGGUUCUCCUACUGUGCGCCCUUGGCCUCGACUUUAGGUAGCGCCUGUCGUCGGCUCGCCUUGUUCAUAAUCCAGGUACGCGUCGACUGUCUGAGCUCCUGCUCACCAUUGGUGGUGCUCGAGCGUGCGGUUAUGGUGUCGCACAACAAGGGAACACAGGAUGUGGGAUUGAGACAUUGCUCAUAGCAACCCGCAACAAGGCAAAGGAUUCCCAUCCAAACUUGCAGGAAGCGGAGGUGGUCACAAAUGUGGACGUUGGCUCCAUAGGAGUCUCAACAAUGCACUCAUCAGUAGGACAGUGGUGCGAUGACGCUGCAGGAGGUGCACUAGUACGGGGGCAUUUUAAUUUGUUUCUUCUUUUCGGCGAGUGUCAGCCAGAUAGACAGUACUCCCAACAAGAUGACGAUAAAGUGUCAAGAUCAGACAAAGGGUCACCAUCAGUAGCACGGAGGUGAACAUUGAGCUUCGUGGGAGUCUCAACAGUGUGCUCAUGAGUAAGAGCGGCAAGAGCAAGAUCCUGGAUUAUUAUUUUUGAGCAAGAAGAUACCUUGAUCCCAAGAAAGUAGCGAAGAGGGUCAAGAUCAAACAUAAGAAACUCCUUACUCAGACAUGCCUUCACGAAUUGAUGAUCAUCAACAUAUAGAAGAAGAGUCCUACCAAGAGCAGAAAGGAGGACAAACAAUGUCAGAUCACGAGGACUCGUUGAAAACCAACAACCACCACCACAAAGGCAAAACACUCAAACCAGGCACGAGGGGCUUGCUUAAAGCCAUAGAGAGAGCAAUGAAGGCAACAAAGCAUGUCAUUAGGAGCAGAGUACCCGGGUGGUGGCUGCAUUUAAGCCUCCUCAUGCAGCUCGCCAUUUAGAAAAAAACAUUCUUAACAUCCAUCCGAGACAAACCUGUGGCAUACAUAGUUAACAAAAGAAGUGCGAGAAGUGGUCAUAUGGUUUGCAGGAGCAAAAAGUCUCAUUGUAAUUAGGACUCUUAAUCAGGACCAUGCUCUUGCUAAAAGCCACGAGCCACAAGACGAGCUUUGUAAUGCUUAAGAGAACCAUCAGAGCGAGUCAUAACAUUGCGGACCCACCAAGUGAUGGGACGAACACGAGGAGGAAGAGCAACAAUAUCCCAUGUGCCGAUUUGCUCAAGAGCAACAAUAUCCCCUGCCAUCGCAAGGUGCCAUUUGGUAUGAACAACAUCACGAUAAGAAGUCGGCUCAAGAACAUCAGCACCAACGCUUGGAAGACCAAGGUGGUCAACAGGCGGAAGUGGAUGAGGAAGCGAGUCAUAAGUAGGUGGAGAGGGGAAGUGGCACAUCAUUAGAUGCAUUCACAACACGCGGACGAUGUAUAUAAAAGUGAGGAAAAGAUGGAAGAAUACGAGUAACUUAGGUGAUGGAGACGAGGAAUCCACAACUAAUGAAGGUGUAUAGUCCUGUGAGAAGCGAGGUGAGGAAAUCAUAGGAGAUGAUGGCAUUGGAUCUGCAAUAAUUGGAGAAGCAGGAGCAGUACAACGAAUGGAUAAGGGAUCAACUGGAGUGAUAGGAGUGUCAGGAUUUAAAAAAAGAAGAUAUCCUCCACUAAAAGGUCGAGAAAGAUGGCCGCGAAUAGAAGGGAUGAGACUCAUCAAAAGUCAUAUCUCAAGAAAUAGGCAUCCAACGACUAACAUGAUGCCAGCAAUGAUAUCCCUUAUGCUCAUCGUUGUAUCCUAACGAACUGAGCAGUCAGUUUGGUGCAUUCACAUGGGGCAAGGACAUACCAAAUACAACCAAACAAUUGAAGCGCUGAAUAAUCAGGAAACGAUCAAAUAGACGCUCGAAAGGAGCGCCACCUUGCAGAGCAAUGGAUUGCUGAAGGGUGAUGAGAUAGAUGGAAGUGGUGACAGACUCGACCCAAAAGUGCAGUGAAAGAGAGGCAAUAACCAUCAAUGGACAAGCUGUCUCAAGAAGGUGACGAUGCUUGUGCUCAGCCACGCCAUGCGGAACAUGAGCACCAGGAUAAGGGAACCGAAGUCUGCUCAUGAAGGAUUCCAUGCAACAACUUGGAGAUAUAAUUCUCCACCAGAGUCACAGAACACACGAAUAGGCAGCAAAAGGCUUUACUCAACUACGAGAAGAAAUAAAGUAUAUCCAGGUGUGUCGAGAGAAGUCACUAGCGAUGACCUCCUUUCGAGGCAAAGGAAGAUGGACACUAUCUCGCUAUGAGUAUAAGGUAACUGGACCUGUUUACUGUUUACGAAGCCGGCAACCUUGACACUUUAGAGGCAUCGUCGGAGACAGAUGCAAGAAGGCCACGUCGAACCAAGGAUGAAAGAUCACAAGGGACCCAAGGGGAUGAUGCCAUUGCUGAAAAUAGCUGGUAGACAAGGCAAUAGAUUGGUGGCGAUGUCGGCAGAGGGACUUGAUCCAGCAUCCGUGCCUGUGCACUCUCUGUACCCUGCCGAUUUGGCUUGGUGUUCUUCUCCUGCUUGCGGGUUGUAUGCCACGUGCUUGAUUAAGCACCCCUGGUUCUCCUACCGUGCGCCCUUGGCCUCGACUUUAGGUAGCGCCUGUCCUCGACUCGUCUCGUGCAUAAUCCAGGUACGCGUCGACUGUCCGAGCUCCUGCUCACCAUUGGUGGUGCUCGAGCGUGCGGUUAUGGUGUCACACAUAAAGGGAACACGGGAUGUGGGAUUGAGACAGUGCUUGUAGCAACCCGCAGCAAGGCAAAGGAUGCCCAUCCAGACUAGUAGGGAGCGGAGGUGGUCACAAAGGUGGACGUUGACUCCAUAGGAGUCUCAACAGUGCACUCAUCAGUAAGAGUAGCACGAGUAAGAAGAUCCUGGACAUACUUCUCUUCAAAAAUAAAGAAGUCAUUAGAGGUAGAAGAAACCUCAAUCUCAAGGAAGUACCAAAGAGGACUAAGAUUGGACAUAAGAAAUUCAUUAUGACGAGUCUUCACCAUAGGAGUCUCAACAGUGCACUCAUCAGUAAGAGUAGCACGAGUAAGAAGAUCAUGGACAUACUUCUCUUCGAAAAUAAAGAAGUCAUUAGAGGUAGAAGAAACCUCAAUCUCAAGGAAGUACCAAAGAGGACUAAGAUUGGACAUAAGAAAUUCAUUAUGACGAGCCUUCACCAAGGCAAUGUACUUAAGAGUCGUUGCCGGUGAUGAUCGACAUGUAGAAGUGUUCCACCACGAGUUGAAUGGUGGACUGAAAGUGUAGGAUAAUGAGCACUCGUCAAAAAUAAGCCGCAAUCACCACCGGGACGAAGCGCUCAAACCAAGCACGAGGGGUUUGCUUAGGGCCAUAUAGACAUCGACGAAGACGACAAACCAUGCCAUUAGGAAGAGAACCUAGGUGGUGGCUACUUGUAGGCAUUCUUGACAUCAAGCUGAGAGACAGACUAGCGGCGAGUAGAAGCCACAUUGAGGAAGUGUGCAAAGAGUGGUCACAUGGGCCAUAUAUAUAGGAGUAAAUGUCUCUUCGUAGUCAUGACCAAGUUCUCACCACUAAACGAGCUUUGUAACGCUCAAGAGUAUCAUCAGUCUUAACCUUGUAGACCCACUUACAAGUGAUGAGACGAGCAUGGGGAGGAAGGGAAAUGAGAUUUCAUGGGUCGAUGUGGGCAAGAGCAUCAAUCUUCGAUGCCAUCACAUCCAGCCAUUUGGGAUGAACAACCUCACGGCAAGAAGUCGUCUCGGGAAGAGCUGCGCAGUAACCAUAGCGGUCAAUAGGCAGAAGCGGGCGAGCUCGAAAGCCAUAACUAGGCUAAGCUGGAGGCGGUGCGUUGGCAACAAAGUGAGUCAUAACAUUCCCACAAGUGAUGGGACGAACACGAGGAGGAAGAGAAACAAUAUCCCACGUGCCGAUGCGCUCAAGAGCAACAAUCUCCUCUGCCAUCAUAGAAACUAGAAAGCCACAAUGUGAUAGAAGGUGUAGAAUCAUGUGAUAAGCGAGGUGAGGAAAUCAUAGGAGAUGAUGGCCACUGGAUCUACAAUAAUCAGAGAAGCACGAGCAGUACGACGACUGGAUAAGGGAGUGAUAGGAGUGUUGGAUUUAAAAAAAGAGAGAUUUCCUCCGUUGAAAAGGUCAAGGAAGAUGGAUGCGGGUAGAAGAGAGGAGACUCUACAAAAGUCAUAUCCUAAGAAAUAGGCAUCCGACGACCAACAUCAUCCCAACAACGAUAUCCCUUAUGCUCAUCGUUGUAUCCUAAGAAGACAUUCCGAGCUCCUGCUCACCUUUAGUGGUGCUCGAGCGUGUGGUUAUGGUGUCGCACAAUAAGGGAACACGGGAUGUGGGAUUGAGACAGUGCUCAUAGCAACCCACAACAAGGCAAAGGAUUCCCAUCCAGACUUGCAGGGAGCGGAGGUGGUCACAAAUGUGGACGUUGGCUCCAUAGGAGUCUCAACAAUGCGCUCAUCAGUAAGAGCAACAUGAGCAAGCAGAUUUUGGAUAUACUUAUCCAGGAAAUACGGAACAAUCUCAAGGAAGUAGUGAAGAGGACCAAGAUCAGACAUAUGAAUUCAAUAUGACGAGCCUUCACAAAGCUAAUGUACUCAAGAGUCGUCGUCGGUGAUGAUUGACAUGUAAAAGAAAUGUUCGGCCACGAGUUGAGUGGUGGACUGAAAGUGCAGUAUCAUGAGCACUCACCAAAAACCAACCGCAAUCACCACUGAGACAAAUCGCUCAAACCAGGCACCGAAGGUGGGGGGGGGUGCUUAGGGCCAUAUAGACAGCGAUGAAGACGACAAACCAUGCCAUCAAGAAGAGAACCCAGGUGGUGGCUACAUGUAGGCAUUCUUGACAUCAAGUUGAGAGACACACUAGCGGCGAAUAUAAGCCACAUUGAGAAGUGUCCUAAGAGUGGUCGUGUGGGCCAUAUAUAUAGGAGCAAAUGUCUCAUCCUAGUCAUGACCAUGUUCUACCACUAAACGAACUUUGUAACGCUCAUGAGUAUCAUCAGUCUUAACCUUGUAAACCCACUUACAAGUGUUGAUAGCACAAGGAGGAAGGGAAAUGAGAUUCAACGUGUUGAUGCGGGGAAGAGCAUGAAUCUUCGAUGCCAUCACAUUGAGCCAUUUGGGAUGAACAACCUCACGAUAAGAAGUCAUCUCAGGAAGAGCUGCACAGUAACCACAACGAUCAAUAGGCAGAAGCGGGUGAGCUCAAAAGCCAUAAGUAGGCUGAGCUGGAGGCGAUGCAUGGACAACAAAAGAAGAUAUAAUAGUCGAGGGAUAUGGCUCAUCAAAAGAAUCCACACCACGUGGACUACGAGCGCAGUGAAGUCGAGGAACAUGAGCAAAAGAAGGAACUAAGAGUGCCAUUACUAUCUACUGGGAGGGAAGUACCAUUGACAAUAAGAAAAUGAACAGGAGAAUAUGGAGGUGGAAUGGAGGACAAAUUGGAAGAAUCGUAAGUCGUAUGACCAAGGAUACAUGGAGGUGUAUCUGAUAUUGUAAAAAAAAUAGUCUCUUGGUACCAUUAGAGUAAGUAGCAAAACCUUGAAAACUUGUCGAUGGAGAACCAAAAGAAGCAGCUACCAGACACUAACGUCAUGUAAUCUCUAGCAUAGUCAGGGGCUCAAUUGAAGAGGUCGACGAAGAAGUAUCAUGAGAUGAAGAGCCUGACUCGGUUUUCCAGAAGCAGUUGGGGAUUGGGGAUCGUUCCAACCGGUUUUUUUGUUUCAUCUUUUAUCUGUUUUUAUCUAUCUUUUGUUUUCUCCGUGUUCGUUUUUCCUUUUUAAUUUUGUUGAACCUUUUUCAAAUUUGUGAACAAUUUUUUAUUCAUGAACUUAUUUAAAAUUCUAAUUUUUGAAUUGCUAAAAAAUGAUUUCCUGAAUGUUGUUCAAAUUCAUUAUUUUUGAUUUUUUAAACUUCCUACGCAUUUAUGAAGAUUUUUGAGCAUGUGAACAUUUUUUGAAUACGUGAAUGUUUUUGGAAUUUGGGAACAAUUUUUGAAUUCAUUAACAAUUUUGGAGUUCGUAGAUGUCUUGAAUUGGUAAACAUUUUUUGAACACGUGAACUUUCUGGAAUUUGUGAAAUUGUUUUAGAAUCCAUGUACAUUUUUUAAUUUGACGUGAACAUUUUAUGAAUUCACGAUAUUCUUCAACAUGUGAACAAUUUUUCGUAUUCAUGUACAUAUUUUUUGAUUCACGAACCUGUUUUGAACACGUGGACAUUUUCCAAUAUGUGAUCAAUUUUUGAAUGCGUGAACAUUUUUGGCAUUGACAUUUUUUUUUGGAGUUCGUGAACACUUUUUGAAUUUGUGAACUAUGUUUUGAACACCUAAACAUUUUUGAGUUUAUGAACUUUUUUAAUUCACAAACAUAUAUUUUAAAUUUGUGAACAUUUAUUUAAUUCGCAAACAUAUUUUUUGAAUUUGUGAACAUUCUCUAAAGAAAUAUAAAAGCGUUUAGAUCACUGUGUGAUGUAUAAAGAAUUAUGGUCAAUGUUAUGUUAAGUGUUUGGGUCAAAUUAUUAUUAGAAAGCAGGGCUUGAAGUUUGCCAAAAAAAAAGAAGAUAUCAUUUGGGCUUGAUAGGUUAUGGCUAUGUCCCACUCGGUCCUGUUUGCGUGGCCCACUAUGGAGAAGAAUACACCAACCAUUUUGGUAGCGGGCCUAUAAUUCAUCUCAGCAAUUCAGUUUAGGCCUAAUUCUCCAAAUACGCUAGUCAUCAUCUCAUUUCCUGUAUUUCUCUUAGUCUCACUCCCAACCACUUCAUGAUCCGAAAGAGGCAAAACGCUCAAACCAAGCGCGAGGGCCUUGCUUAAAGCCAUAGAGAGCGACGAAGUCAACAAAGCAUGUCGUCAGGAGCAGAAUACCCAGGUGGUGGCUGCAUGUGUAAACCUCCUCAAGCCGCUCACCAUUAAGAAAUACAUUCUUAACAUCAAGCCGAGACAGACCUAUGGCGAAAAGAGGCCACAAAAGAAGUGUGCGAGAAGUGGUCAUAUGGUUUGUAGGACAUAGCAAACAUAACCAGAUAAUUGAAAUGCCGAAUAAUCAGGAAACAAUCAAAUAGACGCUUGAAAGGAGUGCCACCCUGCAGAGCAGUGGAUUGCUGAAGGUUGAUGAGAUAGAUGGAAGUGCCCAAAAGUGCGGCGGAAGAGAGGUAGUGACUAUCAGCGGAAGAGUCGUCUCAAGAAGGUGAUGAUGCUUGCACUCAGCCACGCCAUUCUGAGCAUGAGCACCAGGACAAGAGAACCGAGGAAGAUUACCCUGCUCAGCAAGGACUACACGUAACAAACUUGCAGAUGCAUUGUCCGGCAGUGUUAGCAUAGAACACACGAAUAGGGGUAAAGAACUGAGUGUGAACCGUGGCACAAAAUUCUCAUAUCUAGAUAAAACCUCACUACGGGAAGAAAUAAAGUAUAUCAAUGUCCAAGAGAAAUCAUCUAUAUAUAUUCUCCAACAGAGUCAGCAUAGAACACAUGAAUAGGCGUAGAGAACUGAGUGUGAACCAUGGCAACAAAACACUUAUAUAUAGAUAAGACCACUGUGGGAAGAAAUCAGGGCCGGGCCGGGCCGGCGAAAUCAAAGUCCCUGUGCGAAACUCUAAAAUAAGCCCUACCUCAUCCUCACUAUAGAAAAUUAAAAGAGUCGUAGUGUAUAUAUCAUCAUGUCUUACAUAGCAAGGAAUACAUUCAAGAAUCAUACCUAUUUGAAGCUUGGUUGCAUAGUCUUUACUUGAAUAACAUUAUUCUUUUAGUGUUCUUUGAAAUGAAAUAUUCAAUUAUAUCCUCGUAAUCAAUGUUCUCCAACACUUCCCUCUCAAGUGCUAUUGUUGCCAAAUCAGUAAGCCUUUGUUAUGUCAUUGUAGUACGCAUAUAGGAAUUCAAUAGCUUCAUUUUGAAAAGCUUCUUUCCGCUGAUGCAACAGUCACAGGAAUGGUUAAUAGAACUUUGUAUGCAAUACUUGCAUUGGGAAAAUAAUCAUGUCACUUUUAAAACUUUAGAUUUUCAACUAGCCCCAUAUCAUCCUUUGUAACGAAAUCUUUUAAGUAACCUCAACUCCACAUACAGUCCAUUGGCAUCAAUGUCAAAUUUGCCAUCUUUUUAAGGGCAUCCUCAAGAUUAUCGCAAGAAGAUUUCAAACUCUCAUUAUCCAAUGAUUUGGAAGUAAAUAAGAAACCAAAAUAUUUUUGGUAACCCUCAUAUUUGUUCAAAUCUGCUUGUAAGUGACAUAAUUGCUUGAUCAACAAUGGUUGUAAAAUCAUCGAUUCUAAAUUAUUUCUCUGCAGAUUGUCUUGCAACAUUUGUGUCAUCUGGGUUCUCAUCAAAAUAUCUCUUUCUUUCCAUUUCUCGUCUUUUUCUAAAUGUUGUACCAAUAUCCAUAUCAAGUGCAUUUUUUCGGCUAUCUCCAAUGCUUCUAAAAAGCCACUUCCUCUAUACCUCUCGAAAAAAGUAAUCAACCCUUUCACUUUCUCAAUAGUAACGUAUAAGCAUAUCCUUUGCUUGCAAGUGUUUGCUUACUAAAUUAACAACAUAUAAUACCUCAUACCAAAUGACUAUUGCCACUAUAAAUUCAUACUCCCUAGGUUCAUUUGCCAAACCUUUUGCCUCGCUUCUCGUUUCUAUAUCAUUAUCAGUUUCGGAUACCUAAAAUGAAAAGAAAGAAAAUAUAUGUUAUAGUUGGAGAUAGCCAAAGUUAUUAGAUAAUAAUCAAUAGAAAAAUAUUGGGUACUUGAAGUAGAGCCUCCCGAAUGUCUGCACAUUGAAAUCUGAUAGCUUUAACAUUGUCUACACGACUCUCCCAACGUGUAGCUAAUACUAACUUGAGCGUCACUCCUAUCUGUGUUAUCUUUUAGAAUCUUCCGUUUCUUAGUAAAAUUGCGAAAGUUAUAUAAAUGUGUUGGAUGAUAUCACAAAGUGUUAAAUUAAGGCUAUGGCAGCCACAGGUAGAAUAGAUAGCUCUAGGAUUUACAUUCAGAAGUCUUCUUUGGACACCAUGAUGUUUUCCUUCAUAUCUGACCCAUUAUCAUAAGCUUGUCCUCUCACAUUAUCUAUAUCAAGAUCAAGAAGCUUAAGUUCAUUCUCUAGCACUUCGAAGUCCUUGCCCAGUUGUAUCAUUUACAUCUAAAAAUCCUAGAAAGGAUACUUCUACACAAACAUGACUUGAAGAUGAAUCCACAUACCUAACAAUUAAAGACAUGUUCUUGGUGGCUUGCAGUAGGGUACAAUCAAUAAUGACCGAGAAAUAUUUUGCCUCUUUAUUUUCUUAACAACCUCAAACUUAAUAGCUGAAGCAAGCAAGUGUAUCAACUCAUUCUGAAUCUUAUGAUCGAGAUAAUGAGCAUGACUUUCUUCAUUUGUAAUACGGCGUACAUGCUCUUGAAUAACUGUGUUAAAUUCAGCUGACAUCUCUACCAGACCCAAGAAAUUCCCAUUGCUAUCUUCAUAUAGUUUGUUGUUACUACCACGAAAGGCUAGAUUAUGCUUGGCAAGAAAUUUAAUAAUCAAACAAUUCUGAACAAAACUUUUCUCCGAUGCUCCUUUUCAUCCUCAAGUUGUCCUUGAGCAUCUUUAUCAAUAGUUUGAUGCUUCUGCAAUCUACUACCUUACGGUUUAUAAGGCUUGCGCGUAUCCCUAGAUCCAUUAUUUGGCCAACAUAAGAUGAAUUGUAUAGUCAAAAAAUUAUACCACUAGAAAGUAUACGAUUUGAAGUUUCUAAUGAUAUAUUUUUAUGAUAUAUGACUUGUAGUACAUUGGUCCAUUUGUCAUAGAGAUACGCGCAAGCCUUAAAAACCGGAAAGGAGGUAGUAGUACGCAGCUCAUACCAAGUGGUCGUAUUCAAAACAUGAUCUGCACUUGUCUCAUGCUCUUUAAGUCUACUGCCAACAUGUAUCCAAUCAUCACACCCCUAGUUUGCCAACUGAGCUUGCCUAUGCCCUUUUGUAAAUAGUUUACAACCAAAGCAAAAUACUCUAUUGAGGUCCUUAGAAUAGACAAGCCAAUCUCUAUCGCAAUGCUCCCCUUUUGACAGAAUUCUAGUAUAGAAUAGUGCAAAAAACCUUCUAGAAUAUCUAUCCUUAGGACCUUUUUGAAAUUGUUAGUCUCUUUUAGGGCCCUUUCAAUCUGCUUAGGAUUAAGAGAGCCCCAGUUUCUUGGAUCAAAUAUAUCAACAUGAAAUAAACAACCGACAUCCGCAACAGGUGAAGUAUUUGAGUUAACAUCAAUACUAGUUGUCCCGAUGUCAUCACCAUUAUUAUCCAUAUCAGUGUUUGUGUUACCAAUAAGAUCUUCAUCAACCUCAUCAUUAGUUUCUUUCUCUGCUUGUUCAUCUCUAUCAGGGUUAACAUUUUUUUCAACUGUGAGGCCUUGAUCCUGUGAUUGAUUAUUAGAGGACACAUGUGGUUCUUUUGCAACAAAGUUAUCCAUAGCUCCUUUCUGUAACUUCUCUGUUUUUUGUUUUCUCAAACGCUUUUGGUAACAUGAUUCAUGUUUUCUAUUCUGAGAAGACAUGACUUGGACCUUGAGACAUGUAUAGAAAAGAUGAAAACAACAAAAUUAACAAGCUAUUGGCAUAAAUUAAAAUUGCUAGAUGGAAUGCGAUCUGUAGAACUCACAGAUCGAUGGCCGACAGCUGAUAGAAGCGUCAUGUGCUGAAUUGGAUGGGGAUGGACCGAUGGAGGAUAGCUAAGCGACUAGCGUCAUACUGGAAAAAGAGGAGAGACGAACAGACAAGAGAUGAGGGCAGGAAGCGGCGCCAGGGAGGACUCGUCCACUCGACCUAGUUUCCUCGAUGGCUCGAUGCCUUGAUCGCUCGACGCCUAGGUUCCAUGCAAGACUCUGCGGCCUAGACGGCUGGACGUGCUAGCGCUAGUGGGCGGCUUACAGGCCCAUGCUGGGUUCCGAGUAGCAGACUUGCUGGUUGCUGCUUGCUAUGGGCCUGCCUUGUGCUAGGAAUUUCAGGGCCCCUGGAAAUUUUGGGGGCCUGUUCCGUCGCACGGGCUGCACGCCCAUGGGCCCAAGCCUGGAAGAAAUAAAGUAUAUAUCCAUGUGUGUUAACAGAAAUCAUCUAUAAAGAUAAUAUAGCGAUGACCUCCUUCCAAGCCAAAGGGAGAUGGACCCCAGACAUCAGACUGAACAAGGUUGACAGGACGAUUGCUUGUGCUCCCGCUCGUCGAUGGUGGCGCUCGAGUGUGCGGUGAGGGGGUUGCCCAACAGGGGAACACAAGAUGUGGCAUCGAGGCAGUGCACAUAGCAACCCACAACCUGGCAACUGAUGCUCAGUCGGACUGGUAGGGAGCGGAGGUGAAUACAAAGGUGAACGUCGAGCUUCAUAGGAGUCUUAAUAGUGUGCUCAUCAGUAAGGGCAGCGCGAACAAGAAGAUGCUGAUAUACUUCUCUUGGGAAAUAAAGAAGCCAUUAAAGGUAGUAGAAACCUCAGUCUCAAGAAAGUAGCGAAGAUGACCAAGAUCAGACAUAAGAAACUCACUAUGACGAGCCUUCACAAAGGCAAUGUACUUAGAAUCAUCGUCGGUGAUGAUCGGCAUAUAGUAGAAGAGUUUUCCCACGAGUUGAAAGGUAGACAAAAAGUGCACGAUCAUGAGCACUCGCUAAAAAACCGGCCGCAAUCACUAUAGAGAGGAAACGCUCAGACCCGACACGAGGGGUUUGCUUAAGGCCAUAAGAGAGCGAUGAAGACGACAAACCAUGUCAUCAGAAAGAGAAUACCCAACAUGUGGCCACAUAGACCUCCUCAUGCAACUCAACACUAAGAAAGGCAUUCUUGACACCAACCUGAGAGACAGACCAACGGUGAACAGAAGCCACAACGAAAAGUGUGCGAAGAGUGGUCAUGUGGGCCAUAGGAGCAAAUUUCUCAUCGUAGUGAUGACCAUGUUCCCAUCACUAGACGAGCUUUGUAAUGUUCAAGAGAAUCAUGAGUAUUAACCUUGUAGACCCACUUACAAGUGAUGAGACGAGCACGAGGAGCAAGAGCAUCAAUCUCCGAUGCCAUCACAUGCUGCCAUUCGGGAUGAGCAACAACGCCACAAUAAGUCGUCUCGAGAAGAGCGGUGCUAGAAUAACCAUAGCGGUCAAUAGGCGGAAGCUGGCGAGCUCGGAAGCCAUAAGUAGGCUAAGCUGGAGGCGGUGCGUUGCCAACAUAAGAAGACAGUAGUCGAGGGAGAUCGCUCAUUAGAAGAAUUCACAACACCCGGACGAACCAGUAUAGUAAGAAGACGAGGGGAAAUCAAUGGGGAAGCCUCAGGUAAUAAACGAGGUGGGGAAGUCGCAGGUGAUGAUGGCGUGGGGUCUACAAUGGUAGUAUGGGAAGACAUGGUAGGAUGGGCGGACGAGGGCAACUCUUGAGUGAUAGGUGUAUUGGAAAAAGUGAGGAAAUAAAUAUCCUCAAUGGGGAAGGUCAAAGGAGAGGAUGGACGUGGACAUAAAGGACGAGACUCAUCAAAAGUUACGUCCCGAGAAAUGUGCAUCCGACGGUUGAUAGGAUCCCAACACUGAUAGCCCUUGCUCAUCAAUGUAACCUAAGAAGACACGUUCAACGGACUGGGUAGUUAAUUUGGUGCAUUCACGAGGGGGGGGGGGAGAAGAAUGUAGCAAAUGCAACCAAACAAAUGAAAUGUUGAGUAGUCAGGAGAAUGACCAAAAAGACACUCGAGAAGAAUGUCUGCCUGUAGAGCAGAGGAAGGAUUAAUGUUGAUGAGAUAGAUAGAAGUAGAAACUACCUCAACCCAAAAGUGAGGUGGAAGAGAGGCGACGAUCAUCAACGCAAGAACCGCCUGAAGAAGGUGACGCUGGUUGCGCUCAGCAACACCAUUCUGAGCAUGAGCACCAGGACAAGAGAACUAAGGAAGUGUGCCUUGCUCAAAGGAAUCCACCCAGCAAAUGAGAGAUAUACCUAAGGAUCUCGAAGUCGCUGAGUUCCACAUGGAGCACACCUUGCUCCAGGCCACCAUGCAUUGCCUGUCACUGAUCAUGUUGGUCCCACUCUAAAGGAAAAUGCGAAUGUAAUUCUCGAUCGCCGCAAGUAACCAUGGAGGUAGUUGCAUGGCAAUGGCUUGAUAAACUAGGAUGGAGAGAAGCACUAAUUUGACAAGCAUGAGCCAACCUCCCAUGUUUAGUAGAUUCUCAAUCCAAGUGGGGAUGCAGUUGAGAACUUUGUCUAGAAGAGGCUACAGGUGGACCGUGUGAAUCUUGCACGACAAGGGUGUUAGACCUUUCAGCCUGAGCAUUGAUAGUUGUGGAUGACACUAGGAGAGUUGGGACAAUUUUCGUUGGUUUAUUUCUCACACAAUGCCAUGCCAACCUGAGGGGUUGGGGAUACAUAUUUAUAGGCUGCUAGCCAACCAAGGCAUAUGCUAAGAUGCUGCUAAGAUGCCAGUCUAAGAUGCUAGU